rnacentral:rRNA from 1 species
GACGAACGCUGGCGGCGUGCUUAACACAUGCAAGUCGAACGGAAAGGCCCUGCUUUUGUGGGGUGCUCGAGUGGCGAACGGGUGAGUAACACGUGAGUAACCUGCCCUUGACUUUGGGAUAACUUCAGGAAACUGGGGCUAAUACCGGAUAGGAGCUCCUGCUGCAUGGUGGGGGUUGGAAAGUUUCGGCGGUUGGGGAUGGACUCGCGGCUUAUCAGCUUGUUGGUAGGGUAGUGGCUUACCAAGGCUUUGACGGGUAGCCGGCCUGAGAGGGUGACCGGCCACAUGGGGACUGAGAUACGGCCCAGACUCCUACGGGGGGCAGCAGUGGGGAAUAUUGCACAAUGGGCGGAAGCCUGAUGCAGCAACGCCGCGUGCGGGAUGACGGCCUUCGGGUUGUAAACCGCUUUCGCCUGUGACGAAGCGUGAGUGACGGUAAUGGGUAAAGAAGCACCGGCUAACUACGUG